rnacentral:misc_RNA from 1 species
GAAUGAAGAACGCAGCGAAAUGCGAUACGUAAUGUGAAUUGCAAAUUCAGUGAAUCAUCGAGUCUUUGAACGCACAUUGCGCCCCCUGGUAUUCCGGGGGGCAUGCCUGUCCGAGCGUCAUUGCUGCCCUCAAGCACGGCUUGUGUGUUGGGCCCCGUCCUCCGAUCCCGGGGGACGGGCCCGAAAGGCAGCGGCGGCACCGCGUCCGGUCCUCGAGCGUAUGGGGCUUUGUCACCCGCUCUGUAGGCCCGGCCGGCGCUUGCCGAUCAACCCAAAUUUUUAUCCAGGUUGACCUCGGAUCAGGUAGGGAUACCCGCUGAACUUAAGCAUAUCAAUAAGCGGAGGA